AUGGGUAUGUGUUCCAACAAGAAGCGCAGCAGCCCUGGCGUUGCUGUGUGGUGUGUAGUCCUGGGCUUAGCCCUGCUCGUCGCCGUCGAUGCGGCGGGCAAGGAAGGUGGUGGGCGAGCCGGGCACUUGGCUGAAGAGCAUGGGGAUGCAGCCUACUGCUCCGCGUUGUGCAACGGGCGGUCGGACUUCGGACCGUGCUACAAUGAGUGCUUGUACGGGAGGGUGACAGGACAAGAACAAGCGAGAGGAGGUGGUGGAGUUGUAGGGCGAGCUGGACUCCUGGCGAUGCCGACGGAGCGCACCGGAGGCGAGGGAGAAGAGAAGGGGAAGCAAGAGGACCCCGUCGUCCGUCUGAGCGACCCAGUCUGGUGCUACGACGCCUGCCGUGAGCAUCCAGAAUUGGACUACACCCAAUGCGUCAAUGAUUGCUACGCAGAGAAUAUGCCGGACGCCGCACGGCUAGCGGCCCAUGGAGGAACUGGAGGAGAAGAAGCAAGAGGAGGAGCUGUUGAUGGGCUGACGGCGGUGGGGAAACCACACUGCGACUGGUUCCGCGACUGUAGUGUAACGCCAUGCGUCUGGCGAUGUGGCAAGAGGGCCCAAGAGGAGGACAAUGAAGGAACAAGAACAGGAGCGCUCAAUGUCCAGGCGGCUGCGCGGCAUGAGGUUGCUGUAGGAGCAUGUUCGUCGACUGUGUACGUGGAAUCAUGCUAUGCCUGUUGCCAAAGGGAGGUCACUAGAAAUCCGGAUUUCGACUGGUAUGCUUGCAUUCGCAGUUGCCACGACUAA
rnacentral:rRNA from 1 species